CCGCAUGAUCUUGCAUCGCCAUUUUAUUUAUAAUAAUUCGUUUCCACCGGUGAACGUGAAAUUAAAUUAUUUAUAUGUGCAUUGCCGUCUAAUUAAGUAAUAAACAAAGGAAAUAAUAAAACACCCCAGGAAGUAUGAAAUAAAAGAACUAUAGGAUUGACCGAUGUGGACCUGGCUCUAAUGGCAGAUAUGCUUGCGAGGCGGCGCAAGAUAGAAGCAAUCUGUCGAAUUUGCAAUACGGCAUUGUAUAGAAUUGCCGAGCUGCGGAGUCAUCUUCGAACCCAUGCGGAUCCGAAAUCUUUUGCCGACGUUAACGUACGUCCACACCAAACCGUAUUUGUUGAGCACUUUUAUUAGAACUAUCUGGAUUAUCUGGUCCAACAUGUUUGCAAGUUGGACGUUUGCCGCUUCCAUCAAAUAGUAGAUCCAGAUGGAAAAGAACUGAGUGACUCCGAUUCAGAGAUGGAGAAUGAGGAGGAACCUUUUGAAGGGAUCGUUCGCAGAGAACAUAUGUGGACUGUGUAGUCAAAAUUUUUGCCGGAGAAAAAAAAUCAUGCAUCACGCUUAAGAUCAUCAGAAAUCGAAAGAACUGUUUGCCUAUCGACAAUACUCACGAGGGCUUCCGAGCACAGCUUGUAUUACGCCAGAAGAAAUACUUGUGCACUUCCUGUAUCUGGAGGAUAAUGUCAUCGAGAAGCAGGAGAAGCAGAAUCAAUUGCGUGGGCAUUGUAGCCGCGUAUUUUCCAACUCGAACAAUCUGAUAAUUCAUCUGCAGCGACAUACCGACGAGUAGCCGAACAAAUGUUACAUUUGCAAUAAGGGUAUUUCUCAUUAAGCGCUUUCUAGAGCUGCCAAGCCAUUAUGCAAGAGUUUUCAGCGAUGUGAAUUUCUAUUCACAGACUUUCCCACGUUCUUUGGAUUCGCCGUAUCACCGUCGAACACACCAGCAUGAUUGUACACUAUCUACGGAAAAGAAUUCUUUGAUCGAACAAGCUUGUCCACCACAUGCAAUUACACCGGAAUUAGACCACAUGCAUGCACCCUCGCAUGCACCUACUGUGACCGUUCAUUCAUCCAGUCGAAUUCCAGCUUCGCAUUUACAAUAGACGUCCUUCGCAGCAAGACCGAGAAUGGAACCUUUGGGCUAAAUGCCUGAUUUAUCCAGGCUCGAUUCCAGGGCUUCCAUCGGUCGAUGCUCAAUGCAGCUGGUUCCAUUUGCUGUCGCACUCGUCGAUCUCUGUGUGUUUACACAGAAAACAGAG